rnacentral:SRP_RNA from 1 species
GCCAGGCAUGGUGGCGGGCACCUGUAGUCCCAGCUACUGGGGAGGCUGAGGCAGGAGAAUAGAGUGAACCCGGGAGGUGAAGCUUGCAGUGAGUCGAGAUCGCACCACUGCACUCCAGCCUGGGCCACAGAACGAGACUGUCUACAAAAAAANNNNNNNNNNUCGUUCUGUGGCCCAGGCUGGAGUGCAGUGGUGCGAUCUCGACUCACUGCAAGCUUCACCUCCCGGGUUCACUCUAUUCUCCUGCCUCAG